rnacentral:rRNA from 1 species
AACGAACGCUGGCGGCAUGCCUAACACAUGCAAGUCGAACGAGAUCUUCGGGUCUAGUGGCGCACGUGAGCGUAACGCGUGGGAAGCUGCGCUUUGGUUCGGAAUAACAGAUUGAAACGACUGCUAAUACCGGAUGAUGACGAAAGUCCAAGGAUAUAUCGCCAGGGGAUGAGCCCGCGUAGGAUUAGCUAGUUGGUGGGGUAAAGGCGCACCAAGGGGCCGAUUCUUAGCUGGUCUGAGAGGAUGAUCAGUCACACUGGGACUGAGACAUGGCCCAGACUCCUACGGGAGGCAGCAGUGGUGAAUAUUGGACAAUGGGCGAAAGCCUGAUCCAGCAAUGCCGCGUGAGUGAUGAAGGCCUUAGGGUUGUAAAGCUCUUUUACCCGGGAUGAUAAUGACAGUACCGGGAGAAUAAGCGCCGGCUAACUACGUGCCAGCCGCCGCCGUAA